rnacentral:lncRNA from 1 species
CUCACCUUCGGCUGGGGGUGUGUAGUCCCCCCCAAGAUGUAUGUAGCAAAUCACUGUGGGAGAGAGAACAUCGUCCCUUGUUUCGUUGUGUGACUGACUGGACAGAACUAAGUGAGGACUUGGCUGACCUCGCUGUGGAUGAGUCGGGAGUGUGAGCAGACCAGAGGCCGAUGCGGCAGCGAACAGAAGCAAGGCCUGAUGCCAGGUCAGCGUGAAUGAGGCAAGACCUUCACUGACCCCUGCUCGGUGUGGAUAAAGAGAACCACCCACAAUGUACGGUCGUCGAUCCUCUCGGGAUUUCACCAGCUACAAAUCGCCGUCCUCUUACGACCGCUAUGGCAGUAGCCUGGGAUCGGGACGACAUUACGGACAGGUGAGUACAAAGAAAGGAGAACGAUUUAGUGGA